CCCAGACAUCAUGGGAACUUCAGGGUUCCAGAGCUGAGUAGAACACAACUCCCAUCCUUAGGGAUUCACCAUCCAGUAGAGGAGAAAGACGUCGAGACAGAAGACAGAAGGGAAAGGAAAAGCUCAAUGCUGUGCCUUCAACUUAGCUUCUCCAUUUUUUGGAGAAGGGUUAAUAGGGGAAGCAGAGAGAGAGAGAUGAGAGACCAAAGUUUCUAGGGCCUUUAUCUCCAGAGCAGAGGGUCUGAAACCUUAGUGAGCAAAAACUGAUCCGGAAGACUUGUUGGAGGCAUACCUUCCAGUUCAGCGAGCCAUUUCAGCAGAUUGGAGAUCCCCUGCCUGCAGCACGUGCUGAUCUCCAAGGGUGAGGCUGGAUGAAGCCAGGGGCUAUGGAAAGGGAGACUGUUUCAGAGGACUUGACACCAUCUUCAGUAAUUUCUCUGGUUCUUGGCAGCUCCAUUUGGCUGCGUCCCUACCCUGCAUAACCCUCCCAGCUAGUCUACUCCAGGGCAGCAUCCAGCUGGUGACCUGAGAGGGCAGUGGCGCACCAGUCUCCAUGAAGGUUGAGCUCCGAUGGCCAACAGCCAUUUCCACCUUGUGGUCUACAACUCUUCAUCCCGACUGCAUGGAGGUUGGUCUCUCUCUUCAGCUGGAUUUAGGCCACCAUCUGAGCCCCCGGGGUACGUUUUGUCUGACCCUGGCGCCAUUCGAACGGUUCUUCUACAGCAUCAGUUCUCUUUCCUGCCACCAUGUGAAGAAGGACAUGUUUGCUUCCCCUUCUGCCAUGAAUGGACAGGGUCCUGCUGUGUUGCCCAGGCUGGCCUUGAACUCCUGGCUUCAAACAGUCUUCCCACUUGGGCUCCCAAAGUGCUGGGAUUAAAGGGGCGAGUUACAGCACCAGGACCUGAAAUGAAAAACAUGGCCAGCAAAGCAGGUGAGGCAAAGAUCAGGAAGGACAUUAAACGCCAAACUAAGGAGCGGAACUGAAUGAGCAGUGAAGGGGAACAAUGGCUUCAGCAGGUCCACUGGGCUCCUCUUUUCUGUCAGCCUCCCCCUACCCCUCACCUCUGUACUACUCAUGUUACUAUCUACGUCUCUUCACCAAUGUCAUUGUGGAAAUAAAAGCUUAUCUGUAAGAGUA
rnacentral:lncRNA from 1 species